UACGUAGGGGGCAAGCGUUGUCCGGAAUCAUUGGCGUAAAGCGCGUGUAGGCGGUCCGGUAAGUCGGCUGUGAAAGUCCAGGGCUCAACCCUGGGAUGCCGGUCGAUACUGCCGGACUAGAGUUCGGAAGAGGCGAGUGGAAUUCCCGGUGUGAGCGGUGAAAUGCGUAGAUAUCAGGAGGAACACCUGCGGUGUAGACGGCUUACUGGACCAUAACUGACGCUGAGGCACGAAAGCGUGGGUAGCAAACAGG
rnacentral:rRNA from 1 species